UACGUAGGGGGGCAAGCGUUGUUCGGAAUUACUGGGCGUAAAGCGCGCGUAGGCGGUUUGGAAAGUCAGAUGUGAAAGCCCCGGGCUCAACUUGGGAACUGCAUUUGAUACUGCCAGACUAGAGUACAGAAGAGGUGACUGGAAUUCCCAGUGUAGCGGUGAAAUGCGUAGAUGUUGGGAGGAACACCAGAUGCGAAGGCGGGUCACUGGGCUGAUGACUGACGCUGAUGCGCGAAAGCCAGGGGAGCGAACGGG
rnacentral:rRNA from 1 species